rnacentral:rRNA from 1 species
UGGGGAAUAUUGCACAAUGGGCGCAAGACUGAUGCAGCGACGCCGCGUGGGGGAUGACGGCCUUCGGGUUGUAAACUCCUUUCGCUAGGGACGAAGCUUUUUGUGACGGUACCUAGAUAAGAAGCACCGGCUAACUACGUGCCAGCAGCCGCGGUAAUACGUAGGGUGCGAGCGUUGUCCGGAAUUACUGGGCGUAAAGGGCUCGUAGGUGGUUUGUCGCGUCGUCUGUGAAAUUCCGGGGCUUAACUCCGGGCGUGCAGGCGAUACGGGCAUAACUUGAGUACUGGAGGGGGAGCUGGAAUUACUGGUGUAGCGGUGAAAUGCGCAGAUAUCAGGAGGAACACCGAUGGCGAAGGCAGGUUACUGGGCAGUUACUUACGCUGAGGAGCGAAAGCAUGGGUAGCGAACAGG